AGAGUUUGAUCNNUGGCUCAGGGUUAACGCUGGCGGCGUGCCUAACACAUGCAAGUCGAACGGUUCUAAGCGCGAGCUUAGGAUAGUGGCGAACGGGUGAGUAAAAGGUAGGAAUCUACCCCUUGGACGGAGAUAGCUACUGGAAACGGUAGGUAAACUUCGAUAAGCCCGAGAGGGGAAAGUGGUGAGACAGCCGAGGGAUGAGCCUACUCUCCAUCAGGUAGUUGGUGAGAUAAAAGCUUACCAAGCCGAUGACGGAUAACCGGUGUGAGAGCAUGAACGGUCACAAGGGCACUGAGAGACGGGCCCUACUCCUACGGGAGGCAGCAGUGGGGAAUCUUGGACAAUGGGCGAAAGCCUGAUCCAGCGACGCCGCGUGGAGGAAGAAGUCCUUCGGGAUGUAAACUUCUGAACUAGCCGAAUAAAAGGCCUGUGGACACACAGGAGAAGAAAGUAGGCUAGGAAAAGUCCCGGCUAACUACGUGCCAGCAGCCGCGGUAAU
rnacentral:rRNA from 1 species